AAUCAACGCUGGCGGCGUGCCUCAGACAUGCAAGUCGAACGCGAAAGGUUCCUUCGGGAGCCGAGUAGAGUGGCGCUCGGGUGAGUAACACGUAGGUAAUUUGCCUUUGGGUGGGGAAUAACAAUCGGAAACGGUUGCUAAUACCGCAUAAUGCAGCGGCUCGACAUCGAGACAGUUGUUAAAGCGGGGGAUCCUUCGGGACCUCGCGCCUAAAGAGAAGCCUGCGGCGGAUUAGCAGUUGGUGAGGUAAUGGCUCACCAAGGCGACGAUCCGUAACCGGCCUGAGAGGGCGGACGGUCACACUGACACUUAAAUACGGGUCAGACUCCUACGGGAGGCAGCAGUCGGGGAAUUUUGGGUCAAUGGGCGAAAGCCUGACCCAGCAACGCCGCGUGAAGGA
rnacentral:rRNA from 1 species